rnacentral:rRNA from 1 species
GGACGAACGCUGGCGGCGUGCUUAACACAUGCAAGUCGAACGGAAAGGCCCUGCUUGCAGGGUACUCGAGUGGCGAACGGGUGAGUAACACGUGGGUGAUCUGCCCUGCACUUCGGGAUAAGCUUGGGAAACUGGGUCUAAUACCGGAUAGGAACCAUCUUUAGUGUGGUGGUUGGAAAGUUUUUUCGGUGUAGGAUGAGCUCGCGGCCUAUCAGCUUGUUGGUGGGGUAAUGGCCUACCAAGGCGGCGACGGGUAGCCGGCCUGAGAGGGUGUACGGCCACAUUGGGACUGAGAUACGGCCCAGACUCCUACGGGAGGCAGCAGUGGGGAAUAUUGCACAAUGGGCGCAAGCCUGAUGCAGCGACGCCGCGUGGGGGAUGAAGGCCUUCGGGUUGUAAACUCCUUUCGCUAGGGACGAAGCUUUUUGUGACGGUACCUAGAUAAGAAGCACCGGCUAACUACGUGCCAGCAGCCGCGGUAAUACGUAGGGUGCGAGCGUUGUCCGGAAUUACUGGGCGUAAAGGGCUCGUAGGUGGUUUGUCGCGUCGUCUGUGAAAUUCUGGGGCUUAACUCCGGGCGUGCAGGCGAUACGGGCAUGACUUGAGUGCUGUAGGGGUAACUGGAAUUCCUGGUGUAGCGGUGAAAUGCGCAGAUAUCAGGAGGAACACCGAUGGCGAAGGCAGGUUACUGGGCAGUUACUGACGCUGAGGAGCGAAAGCA